rnacentral:tRNA from 1 species
GGAGAAGUACCCAAGAGGUCGAAGGGGCUCCCCUGCUAAGGGAGUAGCACUGUUAAAGGUGGCCCGGGUUCAAAUCCCGGCUUCUCCGCCA